rnacentral:lncRNA from 1 species
UUCUGCUUAGUAAAUAAUAAUAAAAUGGUGAAAAAGUUCGUUAACAGUUUAGGGAAGAGAGUAUAAUUUAUUGGCGAGUAGGUCAAAGAAGGGGUAAUAAAUAUUUUAGAUUUAAGAUCGAGUAGAGACUGGAUUGCUCGUCUGGUAAUGACUAAGCUGAUUAAAACUCCAACUGGUUGUCCCGCUCGUUCUGCCAUGAUUGCCAAAACCCGAGAGACGAACCUGGAAUCUCUGUCUGAAAUACUGCUAGACGACACUCCAAACAACUGAACCACUUCUUUGAUGUAGAGUUGAACCAAUCCUGACGCUGGCUUCUCAAAC